UGCAAGUCGAACGAGGAACAGGGUGCUUGCACCUUGUAGCCGAGUGGCGGACGGGUGAGUAACACGUGACCAACCUGUCUUUGGGAGGGGGACAACCUGGGGAAACCUGGGCUAAUACCGCAUAUCGUCCUAGGGUCGCAUGGCCCAUGGAUAAAAGGGGGCCUCUGCUUGCAAGCUCUCACCCGAAGAGGGGGUCGCGACGUAUCAGCUUGUUGGUGAGGUAACGGCUCACCAAGGCUACGACGCGUAGCGGGUCUAAGAGGACGACCCGUCACAUUGGGACUGAGAUACGGCCCAGACUCCUACGGGAGGCAGCAGUGGGGAAUAUUGCGCAAUGGCCGAAAGGUUGACGCAGCGACGCCGCGUGUGGGAGGAAGCCCUUCGGGGUGUAAACCACUGUCAGGGGGGAAGAACCCUGGAGGUAUGAAUAGUGCCUUCAGCUGACGGUACCCCCAGAGGAAGCGCCGGCUAACUCCGUGCCAGCAGCCGCGGUAAGACGGGGGGCGCAAGCGUUGUUCGGAAUUACUGGGCGUAAAGGGCGGGCAGGCGGUCUGUUCAGUCUUUUGUGAAAAUCCGGGGCUCAACCCCGCGAAAUGCAGAAGAUACUGGCAGACUAGAGACCGGUAGAGGCUAGCGGAAUUCCUG
rnacentral:rRNA from 1 species